rnacentral:misc_RNA from 1 species
GAAAUGCGAUAAGUAGUGUGAAUUGCAGAAUUCAGUGAAUCAUCGAAUCUGUGAACGCACAUUGCGCCCCUUGGUAUUCCAUGGGGCAUGCCUGUUCGAGCGUCAUUUGUACCUUCAAGCUCUGCUUGGUGUUGGGUGUUUUGUCUCGCCUCUGCGUGUAGACUCGCCUUAAAACAAUUGGCAGCCGGCGUAUUGAUUUCGGAGCGCAGUACAUCUCGCGCUUUGCACUCAUAACGACGACGUCCAAAAGUACAUUUUUACACUCUUGACCUCGGAUCAGGUAGUGAUACCCGCUGAACUUAAGC